GUCGCUGCCAAAUCAGCGACCGGGCGUGGAAACCCGGUGAGUAAACGGCGCAAAAGCGCCCUUCAUAACGUAUGCUGGCGCUUUUUUA
rnacentral:sRNA from 1 species